rnacentral:misc_RNA from 1 species
CAGGAAAAGAAAAGGGCAAAAAAGAUUCGAACGGAUAAAGCAAUACAAAACGAGUCCUAAUCAAACAAGAAACACAUCAUUAAACCCUAAACAAACAAGAAACACAUCAAUACAACCAAAACAAAGACAACCAAACAGGGACAAUAAAGAGGAGGAGGAGGUUUGUGAAAAUGGAAUAUAAGAGACCAGCCAUCACAUGACAGGCACGUGCUAGCCGAAAGAAUAACGGAGAAGGAGACGUGGCACGCAACUACGGAGGAAUCUAGCGAUAAACAAUAGGGAGAAAGCAUCUGCUGUUUUACGCAAAUAGAGACAAUGACGAUGGAAAAUUGGGGAGGUGACGCGAAAUCUGUAAAUAAAAUGGAAGAAAUCCAAAGGAAACAACUCACCAUCACAAUAAUUGGUUUUUUUUUUUU